GUGGGGAAUUUUGGACAAUGGGCGCAAGCCUGAUCCAGCAAUGCCGCGUGCAGGAAGAAGGCCUUCGGGUUGUAAACUGCUUUUGUACGGAACGAAAAGGUCUGGGUUAAUACCCUGGGCUCAUGACGGUACCGUAAGAAUAAGCACCGGCUAACUACGUGCCAGCAGCCGCGGUAAUACGUAGGGUGCGAGCGUUAAUCGGAAUUACUGGGCGUAAAGCGUGCGCAGGCGGUUUUGUAAGACAGGCGUGAAAUCCCCGGGCUCAACCUGGGAAUGGCGCUUGUGACUGCAAAGCUGGAGUGCGGCAGAGGGGGAUGGAAUUCCGCGUGUAGCAGUGAAAUGCGUAGAUAUGCGGAGGAACACCGAUGGCGAAGGCAAUCCCCUGGGCCUGCACUGACGCUCAUGCACGAAAGCGUGGGGAGCAAACAGGAUUAGAUACCCUGGUAGUCC
rnacentral:rRNA from 1 species